rnacentral:rRNA from 1 species
GAGUUUGAUCAUGGCUCAGGACGAACGCUGGCGGCGUGCUUAACACAUGCAAGUCGAACGGAUCAGGAGAGCUUGCUUUUCUGGUUAGUGGCGAACGGGUGAGUAACACGUGAGUAACCUGCCCUUCACUCUGGGAUAACUCCGGGAAACCGGGGCUAAUACUGGAUACGACCUACUCGGGCAUCUGAAGUGGGUGGAAAGAUUUAUUGGUGGAGGAUGGACUCGCGGCCUAUCAGCUUGUUGGUGAGGUAAUGGCUCACCAAGGCGACGACGGGUAGCCGGCCUGAGAGGGCGAUCGGCCACACUGGGACUGAGACACGGCCCAGACUCCUACGGGAGGCAGCAGUGGGGAAUAUUGCACAAUGGGCGAAAGCCUGAUGCAGCGACGCCGCGUGAGGGAUGAAGGCCUCGGUUGUAACGUACUUCUAG